ensembl:lncRNA
CUCGAGGGAACCUCCUGAACAAGGACCUGCUUGUUCGCCCCCUGACCACCCCCCCGGCAGCCAAAAACACCAUCUCAGCACCGUACCAAGGUACCCGGCGCAGCCCCCYGCGUGGGGAGGCCACAGGCCUGGAGAGCCCUCGUUGUCCCCGCGAGGAGCAAAGGACAUUGCCGGAGGCGCGUGCGGAGCAGCAGGCUGAUUUUUCCCUCUUCUGCCCGUGCCGCAGGGGGGGCAGAACAGCUUUCCCACCGCCCCGCUGCUGGAUUUCACAGCUCAGCACAGCAGUGAAACCCCUGGACGGAGAGAUCCCGGGAAGCCAAAGGUCUCCCUGGGCCUCGAAAGGUGCUAGUUACUCCUUUGGGUCAGAAAACCUGAAUCUGCGAGCCUGCRAGCCGCGGGCUGCUCCGUCCCGGCCCUGGGCUGGAGCAGACUGCGGCUGUCCCCUUGCCGCGGAGCACAUGUCCCCCCUGUUCCUCCUGCUCUAGGACACUUCUCCUGCCCCUCUCUCCCGUUAGCAGGUCCCCUCGCACCGGAGGGCGGCUUGGAGACUUCAGCCUCCCCCAGCCCCUGGCCGCAGGGGCUCAGCAAAUUUGGGACCUGCAAAGCCUGCAGGAGACAUGGGUCCCAAUCCCAAACGCCGAGGCCUGGAGAGAUGGUCGAGGAUGAGGGGGGAGAGGAGCAGGGUGUCCGACACCGACCGCGACUCCAGCAGGAUGCACGCCAUGGAGAGAGCAGCCGUGCACCCGCUGCACCUACCGCAGCCCCGGCUGCGAAGCAGGCAGCGCGAACAGCCGCCGCGGCACCCUCGCCCCCCCGGCCUCGCAAGGGGCUUUCUUCGCCUUUCAGGAGCGCGUCGCCGUCAGCACGACCCUGCGCGCCGCCCCGGGGGUUGUGCGAGGGGGGGUCUGCUCCCCGCGUGCACGCCGGCCCCGCUGCAGGGCGACGUGGGGCUGGAGCCCUCUGCGGCUCGUCCUGCUGCUGCGGAAAGGGCAGCGGCACAGGGAAGAGCCCCCGACCGCGCUUGGCUCUCACGUGCUGCCCAGAAACCCAGGUGGGGGGAAAGGGGGGGGGGGUUGGCCUCCUCGUUGGGGCCCAGACAGCUCCAGAACGUGCUAAAUCGGGAUCCUCAGUCUCAUGCUUCCCAAACAGGCUUUUAAGGGACCCUCGUGCUCUCCGGCUGCUUUGCGGGGGCUGCAGCGUGGCCGAGCCCUGCGCCGCUCCCCCGAAGCCUCCCCCGCUCCGCUCCGCCUCGGCACGUCCAAGGGACCCCCCCCAAAUCCAGGCGAUCCGGGGGCCGCGUCGCCAUCCCGUCCGCAUCCUUGUCCCAUCGAGCAAAAACCCGCUUACGCCGUCAGCCCGGCGYCGGGUGGAGAACGGAGGACGAGAGGAUGGAGAGGUGGGAGGGUGGCGAGGGAGGCAGCUCCCGCGUCCCCGUCCACCCCCCUGCUACAAAGUGCUUCCGAGAGAGAAGGACCGAAAAAGCGGGCUGGCGCUUUUGGCACUUGUCGCGGAGAGAGGGCCCAGCCCCGGGCGCCGCGCGCGCAGCAGGUCGGAAGACAGUGAGGUUAAACCAGCCAUCGCCUGGGAGCCGGGGACCAGGGCGGCCGGGCUGCCCCCGCGCUCAGCCCCUGGGAAAAGCAAGCCGGAGGAAGGAGCCGCUGGCUCCGGCCGCCUGCUUAUUGCUCGGCUUUGGCGGCUGGGGAGGGGGCUGUGCCGGGGGGGAGCGCGGAGGGGAGGCGGAUGGGGGCCGCGGGAGCAGAGCUGGGGUGGGAGCGCCGUCACCGCCACGGCACAGCCGGCGACUUCCCACGGCCUCGGCCCACGCUGGAAAACCCCGGGGGGGGGGGGAGCCCCGUCCCGCCGCGGUGCCGCCGGGCGAUCCCCGUCCCUGCGAGCCGCGGGAGGAGAGAGGAGUGCGAGGAGGCCACGCAGGCUCCGGCG